rnacentral:rRNA from 1 species
GUGUUUCAACGAGCUGGUAGUUGCUGACGAGUGGCGGACGGGUGAGAAAUGUAUAGGAACUUGCCUAGUAGUGGGGGACAACGUGUGGAAACGCACGCUAAUACCGCAUAAGCUCUACGGAGGAAAACGGGGGAUCUUCGGACCUCGUGCUACUAGAUGGGCCUAUAUUGGAUUAGCUAGUUGGUAAGGUAAAGGCUUACCAAGGCGACGAUCCAUAGCUGGUUUGAGAGAAUGAUCAGCCACACUGGGACUGAGACACGGCCCAGACUCCUACGGGAGGCAGCAGUGGGGAAUAUUGCACAAUGGAGGAAACUCUGAUGCAGCGAUGCCGCGUGAGUGAAGAAGGCCUUUGGGUUGUAAAGCUCUUUCGUCGGGGAAGAAAAUGACUGUACCCGAAUAAGAAGGUCCGGCUAACUUCGUGCCAGCAGCCGCGGUAAUACGAAGGGACCUAGCGUAGUUCGGAAUUACUGGGCUUAAAGAGUUCGUAGGUGGUUGAAAAAGUUGGUGGUGAAAUCCCAGAGCUUAACUCUGGAACUGCCAUCAAAACUUUUCAGCUAGAGUAUGAUAGAGGAAAGCAGAAUUUCUAGUGUAGAGGUGAAAUUCGUAGAUAUUAGAAAGAAUACCAAUUGCGAAGGCAGCUUUCUGGAUCAUUACUGACACUGAGGAACGAAAGCAUGGGUAGCGAAGAGGAUUAGAUACU